rnacentral:rRNA from 1 species
UACGUAGGGUGCGAGCGUUGUCCGGAAUUAUUGGGCGUAAAGAGCUCGUAGGCGGUGUGUCGCGUCGGAUGUGAAAGCCCGGGGCUUAACCCCGGGUCUGCAUUCGAUACGGGCAGACUGGAGUGUGGUAGGGGAGAUCGGAAUUCCUGGUGUAGCGGUGAAAUGCGUAGAGAUCAGGAGGAACACCCGUGGCGAAGGCGGCCUUCUGGGUCCGCCCUGACGCUGAGGCGCGAAAGCGUGGGGAGCGAACGGG